GAUCCUGGCUUAGGAUGAACGCAGCGACAGGCUAACACAUGCAAGUCGAGGGGCAGCAUAAAGUGGCAAUACUUGGUGGCGACCGGCGCACGGGUGAGUAACGCGUAUGCCAACCUACCCAUCAGAGGGGAAUAACCCGGCGAAAGUCGGACUAAUACCGCAUAAAAACAGGGGCACCGCAUGGUGAUAUUUGUUAAAGAAAUUCGCUGAUAGAUGGGCAUGCGUUCCAUUAGGUAGUUGGUGAGGUAACGGCUCACCAAGCCGACGAUGGAUAGGGGAACUGAGAGGUUGGUCCCCCACACUGGUACUGAGACACGGACCAGACUCCUACGGGAGGCAGCAGUGAGGAAUAUUGGUCAAUGGGCGAGAGCCUGAACCAGCCAAGUCGCGUGGAAAAGGAAGAAGGAUCUAUGGUUCGUAAACUUCUUUUGCAGGGGAAUAAAGUGCAGGACGUGUCCUGUUUUGUAUGUACCCUGAGAAUAAGGAUCGGCUAACUCCGUGCCAGCAGCGGC
rnacentral:rRNA from 1 species